rnacentral:rRNA from 1 species
AGUGAACGCUGGCGGUAGGCCUAACACAUGCAAGUCGAACGGCAGCACAGUAAGAGCUUGCUCUUACGGGUGGCGAGUGGCGGACGGGUGAGGAAUACAUCGGAAUCUACUUUUUCGUGGGGGAUAACGUAGGGAAACUUACGCUAAUACCGCAUACGACCUACGGGUGAAAGCAGGGGAUCUUCGGACCUUGCGCGAUUGAAUGAGCCGAUGUCGGAUUAGCUAGUUGGCGGGGUAAAGGCCCACCAAGGCGACGAUCCGUAGCUGGUCUGAGAGGAUGAUCAGCCACACUGGAACUGAGACACGGUCCAGACUCCUACGGGAGGCAGCAGUGGGGAAUAUUGGGCAAUGGGCGCAAGCCUGAUCCAGCCAUACCGCGUGGGUGAAGAAGGCCUUCGGGUUGUAAAGCCCUUUUGUUGGGAAAGAACAGCAGCAGGUUAAUACCCCGCUGUUCUGACGGUACCCAAAGAAUAAGCACCGGCUAACUUCGUG